CCACGUUUUGUCAGUUUAGAGCAAAAGUGGAUGAUGGCGGAUGAAGUGCUGGAUCAAUUGCGAAGCUUUCUGUGAUUUUUUCCCAAUUGAGCCUCGUUGUGUGAACUGGUCCAUCAAAUCUCAACAGAGCCGAAGAGGGCACCCAUAUAACUUCGAGAUGCUGGACAAUAUUUGCUGUGGACGCUGGACAGCCAGAAAUUUCAUGGACUUAUAUAAAUUAAGUGUUUGCUAUGUAUUAUUAUGACCUAAUUUUAAUUAUUUAAUAAAGAAUUACUUUGUAAAAAUGAAAA